GGGGUGGCUCGAAAUAGCCUGAAAAUCACUUUUUUCUCUCUCUUCCCUAUCUCUUUACUCUGUUGUCCUUUCCUCUCCUUUCUUCUAUUGUCUAUAAGCAAUACAAAAAAUACUCUCUCUGUUCCCUUAUCCCUCUCAUUCCCCACAUCUGUAUUCCCUCAUCCCUCUCAUUCCCUAGAUCUCUCUUAUCCUUCUCAUCUCUAUCAAACCUUCUGAUCAGUCGCUGAUUGCGGGAAUGACGACGAAGCAAAACGAACCACAACAAAUGAGGACGAAUGAUGGCCUGAGACAACGAACGACGGACAACGAUUUACAGAUUUCAACAACUCCUCACCUACCGCCGCCAGAAAAUCCUCAUUAUUUAUGAAAAGAAAAGGAAUUUGAGAUUAGAGAACUAUGGAUUCUUCUUCUACUAAUAAUAGCAACAGAAGAUUAAAACCAAAAUUAAGUGAUUGUGGGAGAACUGCGGCAUGAAUGAGAAUGGAAACCAAGGACGUUUGUUCUUUGUUUUCCCAUCGAAAUAGAAUCAUAAGGAACACUGUAAUAUUUCAAAUUCACAGAUGAGGAUGAUGACGACACUAGCUUGACAAUCUGUUCCAAUGUUGGACCUCGAAAAGCUAAAAGAACAGAAGAAUUAAACGAUCUAAGGACAAGGCUUUGUGAGAUGGACAAUGAAAUUCAUGAGCAUAGAUAAAACACUGAUGACCUCCACCAACAUUCUUAUCACACAACAACCAACAUAUAAGGAAGCAAACAAAAACAAUACAAAUUGUUCAAAACAACAAGAACAACACAAAGAAACUCAAUUUAAGUUUAACAGUUUUUCUAUAAUUCUUCAUCCCUUUACAAGUUUAUUUUUACACUUCUAUUUCAAAACUUUAAAAAAAAUAAAAAUAAAGUGUUUCUAAGCACCAUAUUAUCAAAUAGCCACAAUUAGUGGCCUGGAACCCUCCACCUACAGUGGAUUUUAUAAGAUACAUGGGACAGUGUUCUCCUUGUUUUCAAUUUAUAAAAGACAUCAAAUGGAAAACCUAUAAGAUCCUAUGUCACACCUCUGCUUCAAUAAUAAACAUCAUAUGUUUUAAAGAAAACUAUUAUUUCAAUUAUUCCUGCAACAAAUAAACACCUCUAAAAGCAUGGUAAAACCUUUGAUGAAAAAUUCCCUCCCUCUUCAUACCUCCAUUGUCUAAAAAGUGCCCAUAUUGUUCUUUAGAAACUAAAAAAUAAAAUAUUAUAAAACAUAAACAGUGCAUAACCAAAAAGGAAUAGGUUCCCUUCAAUUAAAAGGUAAACAUCUUUAAACAAGCAAAAUUAGCACUAUAGCAACAAAAAAUUAUCAUAAUCAGCAUUUUUGCAACAAGAAGUUCAGUAUACUUAGCACUAUAGCAAUAGAUGACACAGGCAACUGAACCAAUUAAAGUGUCGAAACAUAGAUGAACAAUCAAAAUUAGAUCUGAUUAACCAAAAAUAAAUAUAUAUAAAUAAUAAAAAAAGAACAAGCAGAUGCAUGAAAAGAGAUGCAAAAGAAGAUAGAGAAAGAGUUCAUUUUUUUUUUCCUGUGCAAACAGAAAGAGUUAAUCAAAUCAAAACACUAAUUCUUAAUCACCCUAUGCGAAACCCUAAAUUAAAAACAAAACCAACUAAUUUCAAAUCAUACAGAGCUUGUUAACUAAAAAUCAAUCCAUUACUUGCAAUCACACCCACCUGUAAGAGCAGUAACAGCACCUCUCGGCAAACACAGCAGCAGCGGCAGCACCUUUUGACACACAUAGCAACAGCAACAGCACCCGUCGGCACACAUAGAAGCAGCAUCAGCCUCGUCAGCGGCACACAGUUCUUCCUCAACCUCCAAAGGACUUCUGCAAAAACUUCUAUCCCAGUAAGGAUUUUAAGAAGUUGUUGGGUUUGCCAGUUGAGCAACAGAAAGCUCCUUUGCUGCUCAACUACACCCCAACUUACAAGUCGGCACUACCCGACAUCCCGAGAAAAAGCAAGUCUCCUCAUUCAGCAACAACUCCUGCUACAACUUCAUCACCUCGGCCAGAUCAGGGAUCAACCUCUGAUCCAGCAAAACAGCUAUCAACCUCGGCUCCACAACUAAUCCCACCUUCUCAGCGCAAACGCUAAUGUUAUAUUGUAGCUGCUGUCGAGAUGGGUCGUAAGAAGGCUGUAGCAGACGACCUUCUAGUCGACAUCCCCGACACUGUCACCGUACAACCUUCACCGUCCCAGUCUCAGCCAAAGCCAAAGCCAAAAAGACUAAAGAAAGCCCAACCUAAGGCAACGGUAACUCAGAUCGACUCUGAGGACACCUUGCCAAUCUCCAAAAUAGUUGAGGCGGAAAAAAGUACCCCCGCCGCCGAGAAGAGGACCACCAAGGUUGCUCUCUCUGAAUCAACCCGGUCAAAGAAGCCAAGGUCAGAGUCUGCGACAACCUCGGCGUCCAUGAAAUUUGAUGUCCCCUGGGCCCCUCUAAUCACCAUUAAGGACAAGCCAGUCAGAGUUGGCGAUAGCGCGACUGACAUUGAAGUCAGCAUUGCCCUCUUUACUGCCUUGCUCUUUCCAAAAGACCUCGAGCGCAACGCCAAGGUCAGCGAAUACAAAAAUUUUGCUCUGCAGUUGUAACACUCCGUACAAGCAAUCCAGCAAGCCCACUCCUUCGCAAUGCAGGCCUUUGAAAUUAAGAAGGAGUUGGCUCGCAAGACGAAGGAGGCUGCUGGCUUGCUCAAGACCAUAAAUAAGGUCGAGGCUAAGAUGAAGACUUUAGCAGAUCAAGCCAAGGUAGCAAAACAAGCCCAAGACGAGGCCGAGGAGAGAACAGGCACUACUGAGGCCAUUGUUAAGGUCCUUGAAGCUGAAAAAAAAGAGGCCGAAGCGAAGACUGCCAAGGCCCAAGCCAAGCUCAUUGUUGCCUUGGCCACAAAGGACGCCGAGAUCAAAAUGGUAGAUGAGAAGGCGUAUGCUGAGGAGGCAGCAGACGUCAAAGAAGACUAUAAGAAACAAGUAAAGUAGGCAUGCAACAAGGGUUUCACCCUUGGUUGGAUGGCUGCUUUGAAGGAGUUGGCUAUCCCCGAGAACUCUCCUCUCAAGAAUUCCAGCAACCUCGUCCUACCAUUUCCUCUCUCUCCAAGCCAGUCCGAGGAGAGGCUGAGUCCGAGGAGGAAGCUAAGGCCGAAAAAUCCGAGAAGGCUGUGGAUGCUAGGGCCAAGUCCUCAACUCUAAAUGAGCAAGUCUUGGGCUUAACUCAGGAUGAGGCGGGCGAGGUCUCAAAAGAUGCCACCCUUGAGAAGACAUCAUUUGACGCGCCUAUUGCCGAGAAGAGCAUCGACCAAACUCUCCAAGAGAUCGAUGCUGAGCUCGUGGCUGAGAAGGCUGCCGAAAAGAGUUCUCAGAUGUCUUCCAAGCCCCAAACCGAUCCAGCUGAUGAUGCCGAAUAGUCUAAUCUUGAAGCUUUUCCGCUGUACUUAGUACUUUUUUCUUUUUGAACAAUGUUUAGCUCUUUAUUUGGCCGAUGUGCCUUUUUGUAAUCUGAACAAUUGUUCUUCAAUGUCAAGUCAAAGUGUCUUAUUUCCUUA